GCAAAAUAUUUUUUCCUAUAGAAUUAUUUAUUUAUAGACUCGGAAGUGUUUUCCAGGUGGACUUUCUAACUUUGCAAGGCGCGUGAAGUUUUUCUCGUUUCGUUAAAAUGUAUUCUAUCGCGACGUAUCAGGAGAGAGAAUGGCCAAGCGGGAUCGCAAACUUUAAACGGCACCAUUAAUGCAAAACGAUAAAUCCGAUUCGUCUUAAGCCCAAUCGCGUGGCAAUCGCAGACAUCUAUCCAGAUGAAACACUGGCGGCAACCGACGCGGGAUAGUCAUCCACGGCGGCUGUGAGUUUCGGAUAUCGAAGAAGGAGAUGCUGAAGAUGGGAACCGCCGAAGAGGAGAAGGAGGAAGAGGAGAAGAUGGAAGUGGAGGUGAGAGUUUGUGCUUGGAGGUAAGAGGCUGAAGAGCCCAUCUGGCUUCCAAUCAGAGCGUUGCCACCAGCACAUGUGUUCACGGCACGUUGGAGGUGGCGGCUCAAUCAACGAGGGUGCAUCCCUCUCCGACCUCCUUCGUCACCCCUCACUCUGGCAACUUUAUAUCACAUAAUCGAGCCUUGAAGCCGCCGUUCCGUACCUCGUUUACCCCCUUCCUCUUCCCCUUCCCGUCAUCCUAUCGCCAACUCUCUCUCUGCUCGUCUCCCCAUCCCUCUCUCUUUCUUUCUUCGUUUCUUUCGGGGCCAUGUCUUUUCGUCCUUCAGAUACCAGCAGCUUCCGACAUCCUACAGCUCUCUCUUCCACCGCUCUCGCAUCGCGCUUCCGCAUUUACGAGCUACCAUCCUUCUUCUUUCCGUCGAUCCUUUGCCCCUCUCUCUUUCUCUCUCUCUCUCUCUCUCUCUUUCAUCUUCGAGUGACUCUAACGCGCAUCAACGACAGUAUCCAACGGCGCCAACGGCAGGAUAAGUAAUUGCGGGGGGAGGAAAAUGCAUCGCUCGUUGUGAGAGAAACGGCGCGAUGUAACUGUGAAAAGUAAUCACCUGCCGAGGUUGGAUACGGCUACCUGCAUCGUUGGGAAACACGACGGGGAAUCGGAGGAAACUACUAUCGACCGGAAAGAUCCGGCCGGCGAUUAGCUUCUCGAGGAGCCACGACGAGAACUAUAAAUUGUAAUAGAGAAAGAGGGUCUUACGUAAUUAUUGCGCCCGUGGCGUUUACAUCCUCUCAUCCUCUUUCGUUUCUUUCGCGCGCCCGUUUCCGUUUGUUCCGACCCGAAGAAACUUGCGGACUCUUAUUAGCGAAACAAAGUAAUGAUCCGGCGCGAGGUGUAUUUCUUUUCCGUUUAAUGAUCCUAGAUCGUAAAAAAUCUUACGCGUACGUCGGAAUUUCGUAUUUACCGUAGAAAUAACUCUAACGAUAUUAAAGAAAAGCUUCAUUGCAUGUAUUUAAACAUGCGCGGGUAGACACAAAGUAGCCGGCUGAUUUCGAAAGUGUUGCAGAGAUUUUAAUCUAAAAAUUAUAUUGUCCAUAAUGGAUCUAAAGCGCUGAAGUAUCUUCGUUUAAAGUGGUCUAUUUGUAAUUUGCGCUGAAGUAUCUUCGUUUAAAGUGGUCUAUUUGUAAUUUGCGCAGCGGAAUAUCGUAUAAAACAUUUCGCAAAGCCGUAACAUGCGCGACGCAUAACACAUCUGCGCCACGCUACUCAAUGGCACGGAAGAGACGAAUUCAUGCGUAAUAUUUCCAGGACGAUUUGGCUUGGACGUCCUUUUUGAAGCACCGUUUAAGUAAAUUGGGUCCUCUUUUCUCAUGCAGAUACGGUAUCCCCUUGGCCGAAUUGAAUUUAAACGGGUCCACUCGUGCCAUGCUAAUUUGCUCGUGCCGCCUAUGCUAACGUGCCUUUGACGCUCUUAUUUAGAGUACAGUGCAUAAAUUGUUUUGUUGUUAAUACAUACAAAUUAUUUUUUCCAUACUUUUAUAAACUCCCUCUGUUACGUAACGCAAUAAAAAAUUGUCUUGUCA